rnacentral:rRNA from 1 species
UACGUAGGGUGCAAGCGUUAUCCGGAAUUAUUGGGCGUAAAGGGCGCGUAGGCGGCCACGCACGUCCGUUGUGAAAUCGCCCGGCUCAACUGGGCGGGGUCAGCGGAUACGGUGUGGCUCGAGCAAGCUAGGGGGCAAUGGAAUUCCCGGUGUAGUGGUGGAAUGCGUAGAUAUCGGGAGGAACACCAGUGGCGAAGGCGGUUGCCUGGAGCUUUGCUGACGCUGAUGCGCGAAAGCGUGGGGAGCGAGUCCGG